UACGUAGGGGGCUAGCGUUGUCCGGAAUCAUUGGGCGUAAAGCGCGCGUAGGCGGCCCGGUAAGUCCGCUGUAAAAGUCCAGGGCUCAACCCUGGAAAGCCGGUGGAUACUGUCGGGCUCGAGUCCGGAAGAGGCGAGUGGAAUUCCUGGUGUAGCGGUGGAAUGCGCAGAUAUCAGGAGGAACACCAAUGGCGAAAGCGGCUCUCUGGGACGGUACUGACGCUGAGACGCGAAAGCGUGGGGAGCAAACAGG
rnacentral:rRNA from 1 species